rnacentral:rRNA from 1 species
GCAAUAGGGAGCGGCGCACGGGUGAGUAACAUGUGGGAAUAUGCCUUUUGGUACGGAACAACUUUUGGAAACGAAAGCUAAUACCGUAUGGUCCCUUCGGGGUAAAGAUUUAUCGCCAAAAGAGUAGCCCGCACUGGAUUAGCUAGUUGGUAAGGUAAUGGCUUACCAAGGCGACGAUCCAUAGCUGGUCUGAGAGGACGAUCAGCCACACUGGGACUGAGACACGGCCCAG